AGUGCCGGCCACAGCAUGGCUGCCCUGCAGAGGGGCUUGUGCCGCUGCUGGACUGACAGGCUUGCGAGGCUUUGCUUGUCUCGGCAUGGCAGGUCUGGCAAACCACGGACAGACCAGGCACAUGGGACCAAGCCGGAACCUCCUGCUCAACGGGAAGUCUUACCCCACCAAAGUGCGCCUGAUCCGGGGGGGCUCCCUGCCCCCAGUCAAGCGGCGGCGGAUGAACUGGAUCGACGCCCCGGAUGACGUGUUCUACAUGGCCACAGAGGAGACCAGGUGGGGCCUUCCCAGGGCAGGCGGGAGGGCUCGGCACAGCGUCCCGGGCCUCACCACCACCUGUGCCCACAGGAAGAUCCGCAAGCUGCUCUCAUCCUCGGAAACCAAGCGUGCUGCCCGCCGGCCCUACAAGCCCAUCGCCCUGCGCCAGAGCCAGGCCCUGCCGCUGCGGCCACCGCCACCUGCGCCCGUCAACGACGAGCCCAUCGUCAUCGAGGACUAGGGGCCGCCCCCACCUGCGGCCGCCCCCCGCCCCUCGCCCGCCCACACGGCCCCUUCCCAGCCAGCCCGCCGCCCGCCCCUCA
rnacentral:sRNA from 1 species